AGCGAUAGCGUUUAGUUUGACGUGCCACACGUUGAAGGGCAAACCAUCGAACGCGACUGAGUGCACGCGGCUCGAACUGGCUGCAACGCUGUUGCUAAGGUUUCGGUCUCACAUUCAACGUACUGUAGGUGCCUCUUCUGUUAAAGGGGGGGCCCGCUUUUCUAUAGGAAUAUGUUUUCGUCUUGCGACGUAAAAGGCGUCUUGCGGGGACGCUGCAACUUUGAAGACAGCUGUGAGUGCGACGGUUAUUUCCGGUCUACUGAUGGUUCUCACCAGCCGGCAGCGCCGUACCAAGCAUCCUGGUGGGCAUACUGCGGGCAUAGCCCGGUUCACCAUGCUCGUAUGGUCCCAGGCCAGCAGCCCUUGCCAACAUGCAGCGCGCAAACAGAAGAAACAUUGCAAGAGUUCCGGGCCGCAAAUAUUGGCAAUCAUUUGAUAUGGGGAGGAGGAUCAUCCGGUAUGCGAUAUUUCAAACGUGCGGACAUCGUCUCCAAUCGCAAGUGAUGCAGCUCGUCUCACGGAUGGGCUUGAAGCAGCUCGCCGAUCUAAAGACCCACAGCCAAGUAACACGCCUUCUGCCAGCUAGCGAGUUGUCGACCAAGCUGAAACUUUGGACGUCGGCGCAGAUAGAGUGAGAAAUAUUUCAGCCGGUUUAGUAGGGCAGCAUGUCUGCUCGAAGUGUGGACUUUUUUGUGCCACGUUCAGUUUGUUUGCACACCAUACGAGAACUGUACAUAAUGGCAUUGUGACUUCAUUUGUGUGCAGCAUGUGUGUAAGUGAUUAUUUCUUUCUGAAACAUUAUCAGGAGCACCACAGAAGAUGUAAGAUUAAACAUUCGGAAAGUAAUAAGCCACGGAAAGCAGUUCAUUCAGAUGGUGAAAUAAUUGAUCGUGAUGUCGUCCCUAUGUCACUAGAGCAGCAGCCGAACAACUAUGGCAUCGUAUCCAGUAUGAUGUUGGGCCUGUGCCGGCG